AAUUAUAUACUUCUCAAAAGAAACCCUAGCGUCACCUCUUGAGCAAACCCCUUCUCCCACCUCUGAUCUCCCCCCUUUCUCAAAAGAGAGGGGGGAGACAAGCUUUUUCCCUCUUCCCCUUUUCAUGCCUUUCUUCACCGUUCUCCCUCCCCGUCGUCUUAGCUAGAUCCUAACCCGCAACUCCCUAUCUCUCCACUUCUUUUUGCUUCCUGAAACUUAUUCGAUUCUUUCUCAUUUCUUUUAUGGACGUGAUUCCGUUGCUCCUUUUGGGUUCAGAAGAGGGGAAGAGAGCUUCUCGUCACUUCUCCCUGUCGCCGUUAUGGCCUCGCCCGCAGAUCAAAAAGCCUUUUCGAUUUCAUUCUAAGUUACUUUCAGAUUUAACUAAUUUUCUUCCCGUUUGAGGAUGGAAAACUAGGGAUUUAAUCUAGAAGGGAAAUCAGGAGGUUAUAUCGUCGGAUGACAAAUGCAAUUUAAGAAAUGGAAGAGGAAAUGUGAUGGGUAAUUACUAGAUGGGAAAGAUGAUUGAAGAAAAAGAUGACAGUUGCAGGGAUGGAAAAAGAUACAAGUAUUGAAACUCUCUAAAGGUUCUAAAAGUUUCAGGCGGGAGUUAUUUCAACCUGAAAACGCGAUCAGAAGUUGGUCAUAGAUCGACACGAUGGAGAUUCACGUUAUGUUUUCAAUUUUUUUCGUUUAUCAUUAUGUUUUCUUUUUAUCCUUUGUAUUCUUUUAAUUUUAUUUUAUAAAAAUCGCCUUUUAUAAAUAAAAAAUUAAAAAAAAAAAAAAAAAUUAU
rnacentral:lncRNA from 1 species